rnacentral:rRNA from 1 species
CCUACGGGAGGCUGCAGUGGGGAAUAUUGCACAAUGGGGGAAACCCUGAUGCAGCGACGCCGCGUGAGUGAAGAAGUAAUUCGUUAUGUAAAGCUCUAUCAGCAGGGAAGAAAAUGACGGUACCUGAGUAAGAAGCCCCGGCUAACUACGUGCCAGCAGCCGCGGUAAUACGUAGGGGGUAAGCGUUAUCCGGAUUUACUGGGUGGAAAGGGAGCGUAGACGGCAGUGCAAGUCUGGAGUGAAAGGCGGGGGCUCAACCCCCGGACUGCUCUGGAAACUGUACGGCUGGAGUGCAGGAGAGGUAAGUGGAAUUCCUAGUGUAGCGGUGAAAUGCGUAGAUAUUAGGAGGAACACCAGUGGCGAAGGCGGCUUACUGGACUGUAACUGACGUUGAGGCUCGAAAGCGUGGGGAGCAAACAGGAUUAGAUACCCCAGUAGUC